GAACGGGCCAACGAGUUACGUUAAGUAGCAAGGUUAAGCACUUAAGGUGCGGAGCCGUAGCGAAAGCGAGUUUUAACUGAGCGUUCCGUUACUUGACGUAGACCCGAAACCGGGCGACCUACCCAUGAGCAGGAUGAAGCGAAAGUAAAAGUUCGUGGAGGUCCGAACCCACGAGCGUUGAAAAGCUCGGGGAUGACUUGUGGGUAGCGGUGAAAUUCCAAUCGAGCCCGGAGAUAGCUGGUUCUCCCCGAAAUAGCUUUAGGGCUAGCCUCAAGGUGAGAGAUACGGAGGUAGACGACUGAAUGUCCUAGGGG
rnacentral:rRNA from 1 species